UGCCUCUCUUCCUCACCUAAGUGCAACACAAUGGCAAACUAUCGCUACUAUGUUUGGUAAUACUCAUUCCUCUACCGACCGUUUACAUGGACCGUCAUUCGAGGAAGCUGAUUGGAACGAGUGAACGGAGAGAUGGACUUUACUACUUCCGGCCACCGUCUACAAUGCAAGCUAUCUCAGUGGAUGGUUCUUCAUCUUCGUUGGAACUUUGGCAUCAACGUCUUGGACAUCCUUCAGAGAAAGUAGUAAAGUCAUUACCUUUCCUACGUAAUUCUAGUGAUAAAUUAAAUAAGGCAUGUGAUGUGUGUCCUCGUGCCAAACAAACUCGUGAUUUUUUUUCUCUUAGUGACCAUAAGGCCUCCCGAAUUUUUGAAUUAGUACAUUGUGACUUAUGGGGUCCUUACAAUAUUGUUUCUUCAUGUGGGGCUCGUUAUUUUUUUACUAUUGUGGAUGAUUUUUCCCGAGCUAUAUGGGUUUAUUUGUUGAUUGAUAAAUUGGAGGUGUUUAAAAUGUUUAUGUCA